GACGUAGGGCGCGAGCGUUGUCCGGAAUUAUUGGGCGUAAAGAGCUCGUAGGCGGUCUGUCGCGUCGAAAUGUGAAACCCCGAGGCUCAACCUCGGGUCUGCAUUCGAUACGGGCAGACUAGAGUUCGGUAGGGGAGUCUGGAAUUCCUGGUGUAGCGGUGAAAUGACGCAGAGUAUCAGGAGGGAACACCCGGUGGGCGAAGGCGGGACUCUGGGCCGAUACUGACGCUGGAGGAGCGAAAGCGUGGGGAGCGAACAGG
rnacentral:rRNA from 1 species